AUGGUGAAUUCCCUCCCCUGCAAUAUGGAUCCAGACCAGAUGGUGAACUCUCUCCCCCACCACAUGACGAGAAGGCGGCUCGAUGACACUUCCAAUCCUCCUGAGAAACCAGCUCUCCAAGCUCAUCAGUGUUGUCUCUCCUGGGCCACGUGGAUGGCCAACCCUCCAACAUGGGGCCAAUUGAAACGACUGACCCAGAAGGCAGAGGAGAUGUUGAUGCAGCAGCAAGUGACUAAGUCCCCACAAACGUUGUUUGUGGCUAUGUUGGCUAUUAUCUCUUGUCAGUCCUCCUGUGAAUUGGCUUACGAGCAAUUGCAGAACUCCAAGUCGGGCUCUACUACCUCACAUUAAAAAAUAAGGAAGGGGGACAUGUCGGGAACCAGCUGCAAGCUGACACAGUUCUUGCAGCUUAAAGCAUGGCAAAGUCCUGCUUAAUCAUUGACAGGACAUGAAAGAGUUAUUAGAGAAGAUAUGAGUCUUGGCCCGUGAAGUUGCUUGCAGUUUUUCUAACUAUAGUUUGUCCUUGGCAUGCUUUGGUAGUCACAGUCUGUUCUCAUGCAUGUUUAUAUCCUGGUUCGCAGAAUGUUUUGUACUAUAACUUCAACACUAAGGAAAUGCUGUCUGAUGAUUCAGUUUGGUGAUUUUAACAAAAACAUGUUUUGUCUACUGCAAUACAUAAAAAGAGGUUUGAUGAGAAAUAAAGUGUGUGUGUUUAUACACCACCCUCCUGACCCUGUCUCUUCUUAAUCCCCUCACCUGCUCUCAGGACUUGUUCCUCA
rnacentral:lncRNA from 1 species